rnacentral:misc_RNA from 1 species
ACACCCAUCAAGCCUGGCUUGGUCUUGGGCGCGGGACCUUCCCACGCCCCGAUUUCGCCGGCUGGACGACCCCGAUCUCAAGCGUUGAGGUAACAAUCUCGCUGGGGAGACGGGCGGACACGCCGUUAAACCUUUCAAUCAA